rnacentral:rRNA from 1 species
UGCGCAGGUGGCUGGGCAAGUCAAAGAUGAAAUCCCGGGGCUCACCUCCGGAACUGUCUUUGAAACUGCUCAGCUUGAGGAUAGUUGAGGAGAACGGAAUUCCCGGUGGAGCGGUGAAAUGCGUAGAUAUCGGGAGGAACACCAGAGGCGAAGGCGGUUCUCUGGACUAAUCCUGACACUGAGGUACGAAAGCUAGGGGAGCAAACG